GCAGGAACCAAUCCCGGGCAGGGGGCCAACCCACCGCAGAAGAUUGGGAAAAAACUCAAGAUUUUAUAGACCGGUAUUCAACAUUAUCUUGAGAGAAGAGGGAAAUGUGGCUCUAACCAGGGCAGAAAAAGAAGUGGAAAUCCCAGAUGCAGAACUACACAAGAGGAUAAGUCCAUCAAAGUUUAUAGUUUGAGAAACAGAUGCCUUACAGGAAGCACCAAUCUAUCGAAUGCACUCAAAGUAAUAGAAGAAAGAAUGGAAACAGACUAAUUGCUUGAAUUGCUCAAGCAACCUGCUGGAUGGAGCUCCUCUAGCAGCAACUUAAUUCCUGAAACACUUUAUUACCUGAGUUCUCGCAUACAAGACAAUGAAUUAAAUUUUUUUUUUAAUUUAUUUAGUUGGUACCCCAAACUUUCGUCCUGUCUGAAGUGCUGUCAUUUUUGGUUAUAUAUGUCAAAAUGAAAACUGCAUUGGAUGUUCUUAAAGAAAAAUAUUUAAUGCAAAGUAUAAAAUAUAUACACUCACAGGGCAAAUUAAAAUGUCUGUACACCAGCUUAUUUAUGUAAUUAUCUAGUCAUCCAAUAAUGUGACAGCAGUACAAUGCAUAAAUCAUAAAGAUAUAGUCAGAAGCUUCAGUUAAUGUUCACAUCAAACACCAGAAUGGGGACAAAAUGUGAUCUCAGUGAUUUCGACCUGGCCUGAUUGUUGUUUCCAGAAAAUUUGGUUACGGAAUUUGUGCACACAGCAGUCUCUAGAAUUUAUUCAGACUGUUGUAUAAUUCAAAAACUACAUCCAGUGAGCAGUUGUUGAGAAGUAGUGCCAGAAGAGAAUGGCCACACUGGUUUGAGCUGACAGAAAGGCUACGGAAACUCAGAUAACGACUCUGUACACAUGUGUUGUGCAGAAAAGCAUCUCAGAAUGCACAACACAUUGAACCUCGAGGC